CGCCUCUACGCCGGCCUGCAAUUUUGAGUUCUAAAUUAGACAUGGAUGCUUUGACAAACAGCAAAGAAUUCUAAAUAAUUAACUGCAGAGAAAACAUGAUGUCAACAACUCAGAAAUAUAUUUAUCAUCUUUUCGAACAAGCUUUCAUGUUCUUGAAUGCCCUAUAUUUGACAUUUCUAAAUUUGCACAUUAUAUUAGUUUUAACCAGAAAAUGUCUCUAUCCAUGUCUUGACGGAACAAUGAUGGAAUAGACUAACUCAGAGUUAUUUCAUCAGUUGGAGCAAAUUCACAUGUGGAUAUGAACAUUUUUCAGUAUAAGGACAUCAAUAAGCUAAAGGAACAAUGAUGGAUGAAUUUUAACUGCUGUUAAUCAACUACUAAAGUGGAACUGAAGUGCAGAACCUGAAAUUUCUUUUGCUAAACUUGGUGAUGAACUGAUGACUGAUCAUACAAUUUUAUUAGAUCAUGACGUGACGUGAAUCAUGUGAUAUUUCCAUCUGUUGCUAAAACCAUUUUCAUUUAGCUCACUGCAACUUGCUUAAAUUUGUUUUCCAUAUAUUUUCCCACCUCCGUCACAGCACUGCUAUAUUUAUGGACAGUCAAAUAUAACAUUGGAUAAAGCCCCUUUUCUACUCAUAAUUGUUGCUUCGGUUUCUUUAGGUGGAUUCAGCGCUUCAAGAGCAUACCAGCAGCAGAAAGCAGUCUGUUCCUCUCGGAAGUUCAUAAGAAGUUCUAUAGGUAGUUAGGUACAGCACACAAGGCAUUGUUUUGGCUGGCACAGAAAAGGAAUUGGAGACUGUUUUAGCUGCCAAAUGCCAAAAUGGUUGUAGGCUAGCAUGCAGGCCUGGUGCAAAAGCAACACUAAAUUAUUUGUCUGACCGUGGAUUGUCUCUCUUCCCCACAAGUUAAUUUUCAUCUAUUUGUGUAUUAUAAUCGAGCUAUUGUAUUGUAUGAUGGUCAGAACUCUAUUGUUGGGUUAGAACAAUAAAUAAGCUUGAACUUCUGUGUACAUAUCUAAGGUACAUCAUCAUGAUAUGUAGAAUAGUAAACCAAUGUUGUAUAUGCUCGAUUUUUACAGUGAGUUGGGCAACUUUAAAUGAAAGGUGGACUAUUAAUAGGAGAUGGUACUAUUACUAUCUAGGUUGAAUUGAUCGUUCGGAUGACAUUCUCUUUAAUCGCAAAUUUCAUGUGUUACAAGGUUUCCUCAUUUACUUUCCUUCCUUCUCUGUACAUGUUUUUUUUCUCUUUUUUGAGCUUUCUCUUGUUCAGUGAGACGAUUGGACGGACAGCCUCUUACCGUUGCCUCAUUGUCCUGCCUCUACAUGCCGCUGUCGCUGACACUCGCCUCACCGCACUGCCAAUAGUCUGCCAUUUGAUUCAUCUUGGCAAGAUGUAGAAAGCCUUGCAACUUAUGUAAUCUUCAGACAGUUAGCUAAGCGCUCUAGAUACAGAUUUCUUUCAUCAUUUUUAGCCCUGUGCUAUAGUGGUUGUAUAUGUAACCAUUUUUCUGUUGUGCUAUAUAGUUAGCUAAGCACUCCAGAUCAAGGGAUUUUGGUAAAAGAUAGGUAGGUGGUAUGUCGUUCCGCAUUUUCUUCCACCUAACAAUUUUUGCCUUGCUUUUCAGCGCUUAACCCAAGCAAGUGGAUAUAGUUCAAGCUCGAGGAGAAGGCGACAGUCAGCCACAUCUCACACUUAUUUAGGUAGUGACAACAAAUAAAUAUUUUGUUCCUGUUACCUACUUUGUCUGACUGCUAGCAUAUGUGUGCAUGAGUCCUGCUAGCAUCUCAAUAAUAAAGCUACUCAAUGUACUGAAAUGCCAUAACAAUUGUUGUAUCUGGAUAAUCAAAAAACAGAUGCUCUGAAUUAUUCUAUAUUUUAUCUUUUUUGCUAGAUUAUGCA